rnacentral:rRNA from 1 species
CCGGGGGUGGAGUAAUGUCUGGGAAACGGCCUGAUGAGGGGGGAUAACUACUGGAAACGGUAGCUAAUACCGCAUAACGUCUUCGGACCAAAGUGGGGGACCUUCGGGCCUCACGCCAUCGGAUGCGCCCAGAUGGGAUUAGCUAGUAGGUGGGGUAAUGGCUCACCUAGGCGACGAUCCCUAGCUGGUCUGAGAGGAUGACCAGCCACACUGGAACUGAGACACGGUCCAG